CUUCUCGUAGCGUAGGGGUAACGCGCCCUAACUAGGAUCAGGGAGUCGUGAGUUCGAUUCUCACCGAGAAGA
rnacentral:tRNA from 1 species